UACAGAGGUUGCAAGCGUUAAUCGGAUUUACUGGGCGUAAAGCGUGUGUAGGUGGUUGUACAAGUCGGUUGUGAAAUCCCUGGGCUCAACCUGGGAACUGCUUCCGAGACUGUACGACUCGAGAUCGGUAGAGGGCGGUGGAAUUUCCGGUGUAGCGGUGAAAUGCGUAGAUAUCGGAAGGAACAUCAGUGGCGAAAGCGACUUCCUGGAU
rnacentral:rRNA from 1 species